rnacentral:lncRNA from 1 species
GAGAGAGAGAGUUCAGUAGACGUCUGAUAUUGAAAGAGAAUAAUACGUGUCAGUCUUGUCCGUGAAUGUCUGACUUGUGAAGCGAAUGAGAUAACCACAGAAGCCGCUGUGAUACGAACAUAGAUCACAACUCGAUCUAAAAGAACUCAGACAAGUGUCGGGUUUGUUGGUGUAGACAGAUAAGGAACGCGUGUGUUUUUUGUGGUAUGUGUGUUUUCGUUUUAGUUGUGGAUUAUCAAUUCGGAGAAAGUUGUUGGUGUGACUUGUGAACUUGGUGAAGGAGAGGAAUAAAGAAGUGAUGUAAUGAUGUGAUAAGUUUUGCGUUCGUAGAGGUAAAGGUGAAAUAAAAAAACAAAAGUGAGAAUAAGCAGCCAGUGUGUGGAAAUAAACUAAAUUAGAAAGUGUGAACAAUUAGUGAAAUACGAAAGUGGAAACAUAACCAUGAAAAAGACGCUAACCUGACAGAAAAAAUAAACAAACAAACAAAAAAACAAAACAAAACAGGAACCCGAAAUGAAACAAGAGGCGCAAUAAUGCCAAUAAAAGACAAAUAGCCAUAGAUCGAGACGUAACAACAAUAGCCAUUAAAUGCGUCAGUGACAGGGUGAUCAUUCAAACUCGAGGCGGAAAACAAGCCUUACGCAAGGAAGAGGCAAGGCUGAAAAUGCACUGCACGCCGUUAUAGGCAAAGCCCGAGGAGUUCGAAGUGAUGUCUGGUGUCGGUUUACGCCGAUGGAAGCGCCCUCUCGGUGGCACUGUCGGCAGCGCUAUCAACAAAGAUAGUAGAAGCAACUGCAGGAUGGGGGGCCCGGUGCAGUGCCUGCUGCUGCACCUCCUACUCAUGUUCCUUCUGCUGGGCGCUCUCCCUGCUGCGAGUGCCGAAGAUGAGAUAACCACAGAAGCCGCUGUGAUACGAACAUAGAUCACAACUCGAUCUAAAAGAACUCAGACAAGUGUCGGGUUUGUUGGUGGAGACAGAUAAGGAACGCGUAUUUUUUUUGUGGUAUGUGUGUUUUGGUUUUAGUUGUGGAUUAUCAAUUCGGAGAAAGUUGUUGGUGUGACUUGUGAACUUGGUGAAGGAGAGGAAUAAAGAAGUGAUGUAAUGAUGUGAUAAGUUUUGCGUUCGUAGAGGAAAAGGUGAAAUAAAAAAACAAAAGUGAGAAUAAGCAACCAGUGUGUGGAAAUAAACUAAAUUAGAAAGUGUGAACAAUUAGUGAAAUACGAAAGUGGAAACAUAACCAUGAAAAAGACGCUAACCUGACAGAAAAAAUAAACAAACAAACAAAAAAACAAAACAAAACAGGAACCCGAAAUGAAACAAGAGGCGCAAUAAUGCCAAUAAAAGACAAAUAGCCAUAGAUCGAGACGUAACAACAAUAGCCAUUAAAUGCGUCAGUGACAGGGUGAUCAUUCAAACUCGAGGCGGAAAACAAGCCUUACGCAAGGAAGAGGCAAGGCUGAAAAUGCACUGCACGCCGUUAUAGGCAAAGCCCGAGGAGUUCGAAGUGAUGUCUGGUGUCGGUUUACGCCGAUGGAAGCGCCCUCUCGGUGGCACUGUCGGCAGCACUAUCAACAAAGAUAGUAGAAGCAACUGCAGGAUGGGGGGCCCGGUGCAGUGCCUGCUACUGCACCUCCUACUCAUGUUCCUUCUGCUGGGCGCUCUCCCUGCUGCGAGUGCC